UAUCACACGUGCAGACAAAGGGGGGGACUCCACAACACAAAGCUGGAUGUGCCCUCUCAAACUUUUUUUUUUGGGGGGGGUUUGUCCACGACGCACGGCGACGCGCGCAGAGCGCACCAGCCCCCAGGUGAGUUGCCGCCGAGGCGGCGUUCCACCUUCGCCUGCGCCCCUGGAGUGAUUUUUCUUUUAUUUGGAAAAAGCCUUAUUUCCAGUCCAAAGUUGCCGCUGCAGUUGGCGCGUCAGCGCGCAAACUUGAGCACAAAGCAGCAGGGAAAAAGGGGAAAGAGACUUAGAGGAACAGUGGCGGCGAGGAGGGAGAGAGCGAGAGGAGCGGUCCCCUUUUCCUUUGUCUGACGCGGGGCGCUUUUGAGGAGAGAACUUGAGGGGAUGCUCAGACACGCAUCUGCACCACGCAACGUCUGAUACUUCUCAUUAAUUGGCCGUGGGCUCUAAUGGAGGUUUCUCCCGGAUGAGUCCUUGGAUUGGUGGAUUUUAACUCCAGAUUAACCAGCAAAGCAUUUUCUGCUAUGGGAGUUUAACGAAAUACAAGUGGAAGAUGUACAGAGUCAACGAUCCAGCAGCUAUUAAGACGAAGAGGAGGAUUUCUAGACUUGGCUUUUUUAUUCGGGAGAACGAGAAGCCGCAAGGAUUUAAACUUCGGCAGCAUCAGUGCCAGGCGGGAUGCUUUCUCGGCACACGUGGAAAUCUAAACACUCAUGGAGACACUUUGAGGAUUAUAAAAAAAAAUGUGUCGCACAAGACAUUUCCCAGGUCAACGUCACAGGCGUAGCAGGAUGCUGCACUGCUGGUCCUCCUCGGGCCUCAGCUUGGGGAGUGUGGGAGCAGUGAGGUCUGGGAGAUCAUGACCUUAAUUCUCUCCAAGACAGACAGUUUAAUUAACACUGGAGGAAUCCUCACCGGCUCCAGACCUUUGCGAUGGGAAUGUUCAGGGGAAUUGGAUUGCCAAGGUCCUCUCGGCCAUUUAGUAGACUGUGAAGCCGACAGACGAUGCCCAUGAAUGAUAAAUGAUGACUGGAGGUCUGUCUGGUGCCAACAGAAUGCAUAAUACAGCGUGGAUGCAGUGAUUCCUGUCCUUCCCACCAGAAACACACAGCACAGUUACUCCAUCACUACCCCCAGCAGAGGAGUGUGUUUGCUUUAAGUGGAUAGCGACUGAACGCAGCAUUCAGGCCCCCUUCUUUGUAGUCCACAUUGCAAGAAGACCACCUCAUAGGGAUUUUCCCCUUCACCAGGUAACCACAAAGGAAGAAAAGAAGCACAUUAUCCACAUGUACAACAUACCCCCGAACACGCACGCACGCACGCACACACGCAAGCUCUCUUUGCCACACAAAGCUGACCACCAGCACAGCAGGAAACACACACGCAUGCACACACACACAGCAUAUUAUCUUUAUGAGGUGUUAUACACCAGUGACCACCAACACAGGGUCUCACUGUUCUCUAAUCCACACUCGAGCUGAAAAGAGUGCUCCAUGCAAUGGAGGGAUUACACCGUGGGAUUAAUAGGAGUUUUAAUUUGAGUCAUUGUAAGAGCCCUUGAUUGUAAGAAUAUGUGCAGGAAAGAAUACCACUUGCUCCUAUGUGAUAUUGUUAAAUGUGUUACAACCGCACAUUUCGGCCACUGCAUUUACUGCAAUGACACAAGCAAUCUGCAUGUGUGUGUCCAUUCAAUUUUUGUGUGACUGAUAAUGAGUAAGACCAUGAACUAUUAUCAUUAAAACUACCACAAUACAGCUACACUAUCUUGAAAUUAACUGUGCUUAAAAUGUUAAUAUUACUGUAAUGCUUGGAAAUGUACUGUCAUGUGAAGUCACUGCACUUUGCAGAAAACACAUUCUUGUUACCAACCAGUUUUUUUUAAUGCCUUUGAUUUUACCCUUAUAUUCUAAAUUAAAAGAAGAAUGAUUACCAUGUCA